rnacentral:misc_RNA from 1 species
GAUGAAGAACGUAGCGAAAUGCGAUACGUAGUGUGAAUUGCAGAAUUCAGUGAAUCAUCGAAUCUUUGAACGCACAUUGCGCCCCCUGGUAUUCCGGGGGGCAUGCCUGUCCGAGCGUCAUUACAACCCUCAAGCUCAGCUUGGUGUUGGGCCCCGCCGCCCCGGCGGGCCCUAAAGUCAGUGGCGGUGCCGUCCGGCUCCGAGCGUAGUAAUUCUUCUCGCUCUGGAGGUCCGGUCGUGUGCUCGCCAGCAACCCCCAAUUUUUUUCAGGUUGACCUCGGAUCAGGUAGGGAUACCCGCUGAACUUAAGCAUAUCAAUAAGCGGAGGA